rnacentral:rRNA from 1 species
AUGACACUCCUAAGUUGAAACUGUCGGGGCCUAGGGCAACCCCGCACGGUUCAUGAACUAGUGCAACUAGUGCACACGCAUAAGCCCAAAUUAGUUUUUAUCUCGGAGACAAGACAAAGCAGUGAGAGAGUGAAUAAUUUGAGGUGGAGGCUUGGCCUCAAGCAUUGUAUUGUGCAACCGGGCUCCGGUAAAGGUGCCGGCAUUGCAAUCUUC